CCUACGGGUGGCAGCAGUGAGGAAUAUUGGUCAAUGGGCGGGAGCCUGAACCAGCCAAGCCGCGUGAGGGAAGAAGGUCCAGCGUAUCGUAAACCUCUUUUGUCAGGGAACAAAGGCGGGGACUAGUCCCCGGAUGAGGGUACCUUAAGAAAAAGCAUCGGCUAACUCCGUGCCAGCAGCCGCGGUAAUACGGAGGAUGCGAGCGUUAUCCGGAUUUAUUGUGUUUAAAGGGAUCGCCGGCGGCUGAUUAAGUCAGCGGUAAAAGCCCGGGGCGCAACCCAGGCGAGCCGUUGAAACUGGCGGGCUGGAGGUGGAGUGAAGUGCGCAGAAUGCGCGGUGUAGCGGUGAAAUGCGUAGAGAUCGCGCAGAACCCCGAUGGCGAAGGCAGCGUACCGGCUCCACACUGACGCUGAGGCACGAAAGCGUGGGUAUCGAACAGGAUUAGAUACCCAAGUAGUC
rnacentral:rRNA from 1 species